rnacentral:rRNA from 1 species
GGCUUGCAGUGGGUACGGGCAGACUAGAGUGCGGUAGGGGUGACUGGAAUUCCUGGUGUAGCGGUGGAAUGCGCAGAUAUCAGGAGGAACACCGAUGGCGAAGGCAGGUCACUGGGCCGCAACUGACGCUGAGGAGCGAAAGCAUGGGGAGCGAACAGGAUUAGAUACCCUGGUAGUCCAUGCCGUAAACGUUGGGCACUAGGUGUGGGGCUCAUUCCACGAGUUCCGUGCCGCAGCAAACGCAUUAAGUGCCCCGCCUGGGGAGUACGGCCGCAAGGCUAAAACUCAAAGAAAUUGACGGGGGCCCGCACAAGCGGCGGAGCAUGCGGAUUAAUUCGAUGCAACGCGAAGAACCUUACCAAGGCUUGACAUACACCGGAAAAGUGCAGAGAUGUGCUCCCCUUUUGGUCGGUGUACAGGUGGUGCAUGGUUGUCGUCAGCUCGUGUCGUGAGAUGUUGGGUUAAGUCCCGCAACGAGCGCAACCCUCGUCCCAUGUUGCCAGCGGGUUAUGCCGGGGACUCAUGGGAGACUGCCGGGGUCAACUCGGAGGAAGGUGGGGAUGACGUCAAAUCAUCAUGCCCCUUAUGUCUUGGGCUUCACGCAUGCUACAAUGGCCGGUACAAAGGGCUGCGAUACCGCAAGGUGGAGCGAAUCCCAAAAAGCCGGUCUCAGUUCGGAUUGGGGUCUGCAACUCGACCCCAUGAAGUCGGAGUCGCUAGUAAUCGCAGAUCAGCAACGC